AACGGCAUUGUUUCAUUUAAUUCCCAAAAUUAAAAGCCAUUGAAUGGCAGAUUGUUCUCCCUUUCAGCCACAAAUAGAAGACCCAAUUAUUAGGGUUUCAAAACAACAGAUUUUUGAGGCUUUCCCCUUCCCUUUUCGAUCACUCGACUGCUACUUUCCACCAUUGAAACCGAUGGAUGAUAGCUCGCCAUGGAGACGUUUUGUUUUCUUACUCUAAACCUCCCCCCAAAAGGGUAUGGAGGUGCCAGAGAAUGGUGCUUGCAGAGGCGUGGGGUGGCAAAAGGCAUGGGGUGGCAAGGCAGCAUGGGGUGACCAGGGUUUUUCCUUUUUUGCUAUUUUUUUUUAUUAUUGGUUUGGGCUAGAGUUAGUGGUUUGGGCUGAUGUAAUCUGGGUUUGGGUAUUUUAGUUUUGGGCCAGGCAUAAUUGGGCCUGUACAAAUACUAUAUAUAAAAGUAUAUAUAUACAUGUAUAAUAAAAUAUAUACUAAUAUUAGUAAUAAAUAUAA